CCAAGGCUCUCCUGCAGAGGUUUCCAGGCUGGACAACUGGACAGUAGGCUCUUCACUGCCAGUCCUGCCUGAGUGUUCCUCCAGGGGCUGAGGAAUUUUAUCAAAGGGCGGAGGCCGUGAGGGGUCCUUGGUUCCCAGCCUGGAGAGGAAUUGUGUCUGACCAAAAUGGGGAAGCAGCAGCUGGCACUGGAUAUGGAGUUUGGAGUUCUACAUGAAGAGCUGCAGGAUUACAAAUAGAUGGAAAAUAUAAAAGCUAGAAUGCUGAGGCAUCGGGGUCGUGUCUUGCCUAAGGAGCUGCUCAAGGGGCUCUGAGAGAGACAAGAACAGAACCCAAAUCUCCAGGGCUCCCAUCCAGCCUUUCCUGUGAAAUCUCUCUUCCCUUGCAAGUGAAUUCUCAGCCUAACAU